rnacentral:rRNA from 1 species
CAGCCGCCGCGGGAAUACGAAGGGGGCUAGCGUUGUUCGGAUUUACUGGGCGUAAAGCGCACGUAGGCGGACUUUUAAGUCAGGGGUGAAAUCCCGGGGCUCAACCCCGGAACUGCCUUUGAUACUGGAAGUCUUGAGUAUGGUAGAGGUGAGUGGAAUUCCGAGUGUAGAGGUGAAAUUCGUAGAUAUUCGGAGGAACACCAGUGGCGAAUGCGGCUCACUGGACCAUUACUGACGCUGAGGUGCGAAAGCGUGGGGAGCAAACAGGAUUAGAUACCCCUGUAGUCCCUGUCUCUUAUAC